rnacentral:lncRNA from 1 species
GCCAGACUUAAAUAGCUCAAGUCCAAUCAUGAAUCUCAUGAGAACUCCUUUCCAUAAUCAUGCUGUUAUAGCCAUAAACUUAUAGACUCAGUCUCUUAUGUCGCAUAGAAUUACUCCUCAACUACUAAGGCCGAUAGAUCCCUUAUAAGUGCACUCCUACUCCUACAAUGAAUCUACUGCAGCCAAUGUCGACUAUAAGGAUCCAUAUGGCUAAGAAUCAUAUUUAUAUAUAGUCAAAUUAUAGUAAUCCCACUAUGAGAAGUCGAGGCACCAC